rnacentral:lncRNA from 1 species
UGUGUGAGCAAUAAAGCUUUUAAUCUCCUGGGUGCAGGCGGGCUGAGUCAGAAAAGAGAGUCAGCAAAAGGAGAUAAGGGUGGAGCCGUUUUAUAGGAUUUGGGUAGGUAAAGGAAAAUUACAGUCAAAGGGGGUUUGUUCUCUGGCAGGCAGGAGUGGGGGUCACAAGGUGCUCAGUGGGCAGGAGUGGGAGUCGCAAGAUGCUCAGUGGGGGUGCUUUUUGAGCCAGGAUGAGCCAGGAAAAGGACUUUCACAAGGUAAUGUCAUCAGUUAAGGCAAGGACCGGCCAUUUACACUUCUUUUGUGGUGGAAUGUCAUCAGUCAAGGUGGGGCAAGGCAUAUUCACUUCUUUUGUGAUUCUUCAGUUACUUCAGGCCAUCUGGGCAUAUAUACGGGCAAGUCACAGGGGAUGCGAUGGCUUGGCUUGGGCUCAGAGGCCUGUUCUCUCGGGUUCUUCAGUCUUUCUCCUACUUUUUCUUAUAGAGAGUCAGGUUACGAAAUUAGAAGAGUUAAAACUCAGUCCUUCACUCCCUUUUCCUAUUUGCUGAGAGUAGAGAUGAGCUGAAGCGUAAUUGGCCAGGACUCACCAAUCCACCUGAGAAGCUGAGAAGCUGAGCCAGGCUGGGGAGAGUGGGAGAAAGGAUUCAGACAGCACAAACCCUACUUUGACUCUGACCUCAGGCAUGCCGCCUCCAGCCAGGAGUACUCCUGGCUUUUCUUUCUGGAAGAGCAUCUGAGAAAACAUUGUCCUGAGAUGUAAAACUGCCCUCCACAUGGUUGGCCCACUGCCCUUAACUCUGAAGAGUCGACUCAAAGCUACAGGGAAUAUCUUUCCCACCCAAAUUUGGCAUAGGAGGAUCAUCCCGCUUCAGUCCCCUGAAGGAUCCUAAGUUACCGAACAGCGAUUUAUUAUGUCAUGAAGGGUCACGUUUCCUUCAUGUUAGUGAUGAGGGGAAAGUUAUAGUAUUUAUUUUUCAUUUUUACUUAGCUGAAUAUAAUGAAUUCCGCUGAUGGCCUAUUUCUGAAAUCCACCAAUCAAAGGAAAUUGUAAAGUUCACCAUAGUAACAGCUCUGUGUCAGUGGCCCGCGUGAGAACCACACAGCCUGGGAGGCACCGCAGCUGAGGAGGCACUGGCCAAUGGUGGGGCAGAGUGAUGUUACCAUCUCAUAGCAACCAAGGGAUCUGCAUGGCAACAUCAGUUGCUUUUCUCACAUCCGAAUCUUAUUGGCUUCCUCUUCAAAAUAUAUCCUGCAUCCAACCACUUCUCACUACCUCCACUGCUGCCACUGUGUUCCAAUCCAUUGUCAUCUCUCUCUUGGAUUAUCACAUUCCCUUCCUCACGACAGUCUCACUGUCGCCCAGGCUGGAGUGCAGUGGAGCGAUAUCGGCUCACUACAACCUCAGUGAUCUUCUGAUAGCCUUGUAGUAUAAAGCAAUUCUCUCUCUUGACCCAUCAUAGCUGUCCAGGUACCAUUUAAAGAAUAACAACAACAAAAGGUGACCAUUUAGACAAUUUAAGAAUUACAUCCAAAAAGCAAACACAUGGAGAAAAAAGCAAAACAAAAUAUAGGCUAGUGAGCACAAUUAAUUCCAAUAGCCGGUUACAAAUCCUUGCAACUUUCUCAUUCCUUUAGGUUCAGAGAAGUCAGAAGACUUCAGGUUGAGGAAAGCCAGGAAUAUAAAAGCCAAGGUCAGCUUUUAAUUUACCUUUAACAUGAUCAAAACUAAACUUUUGCCCGGGAGUUUUCUCAGUAACAAAGGUGAGCAAUUCCACCUUCAAAGGCAUUUUUGGGUCUACUCAACAGCUUCAAUUGCAGUAUACCCUGUUUUCCUCAAAAUUAAGUUUCACAUUUGUAAAUGUUGAUCAAUAAACUAGUUCUGCUUUCCCAGGUUUCACGCUCAAUUCUGAAUGUCCUUAGGGGGACUCUGUGAAAUUUAUAAGGGCUCUGCUUCUUCUGCCUUCCUUUAAAGGAUGCUCCCUUUUCUCUCCGGGUUCAGCCUUUCUUCUUGAUUUUGAUGGGUGCGGGUUCUUGGCCCCUUCUCAUGGGGCUCUGCCUCCAGUAGUACGUGCUCCAGCUGACUUGCAUUCUGUUUUACGCUCAGCCAUCUUCAACCAGGCAGAAAGAAAGAAAGAAAGAAAGAAAGAAAGAAAGAAAGAAAGAAAGAAAGAGAAAGAAAGAAAAGAGCAAAAGAGGCCUUCUCAAAUUGAUAUAUGUUUUAGGAUCUUCACUCCCAUCCUUCUCAAAAUGCUACCAUUUAUCUCAGCAAGAGCACCUUGUGAAGCAUAAGCACAGCAACCUUUGCCACUUAUACCCAAGACCUUGCAGCUCUUAGCAUCCAAUGUCUUACUUCCAAUAAUACUGUACGAUGGGGAAAGGCAGUGAGUUGGUAUGUGGGUGCUGUGGGUGUGAGGAAUUGCAACUUCAAGGCUAGGAUAUAGUUUCCUAGUGAUUAAAAAAUAAAUAAGAUUUACUCCACUCACCCACCCCUGGCCAUAAUAAAGCUACAGCUAUGAA